rnacentral:rRNA from 1 species
UACGUAGGGUGCGAGCGUUAAUCGGAAUUAUUGGGCGUAAAGGGUGCGUAGGCGGUUCCGCAAGUCCUGUGUGAAAUCUUCGGGCUCAACUCGAAGUCUGCACGGGAAACUGCGGGGCUUGAGUGUGGGAGAGGUGAGUGGAAUUCCCGGUGUAGCGGUGAAAUGCGUAGAUAUCGGGGAGGAACACCUGUGGCGAAAGCGGCUCACUGGACCAUAACUGACGCUGAGUGCACGAAAGCUGGGGGAGCAAACAGG